CCAAUACAAACAUCCUAAUAAAGCACAGAUGCUUGGAAAAUGUAACUAAUGUAACUAAGUAUUGUCCACCUCUGCUAUCAAGUCCAACUAAAUUUAAUUUAAGCUGAUAAUAGUCAGUUUUACUGGCAUUUUCGCAGCAGCCCCUAUGAAAACCAGCCAUUUUGUUGCACGUUUCGCCACUCAACCGGGCAAGCUCUCACGUGGUCACGUGGAAAAGUGACGUCAAUGCAUACCCUCUAUAUUGCAUUUGUUAGAUGUACUGUAGCACAUUAAUGUGUGUUUACAAGUUUGCAUUUAUUUGCAUUUUACAACGGCUGAAAAGUAUAUUUAAGUGAUGUGUGCACUUGUUCGUUCAAUUUUGUAGUUAUUUUUCUUGACCUGGCAGAAAACGUAAACUUGACAUUGACAGCUUUAGCUCAUUUAGUUUUGGGUUUGUUUGUUUUUGGUUUUGCCAAAUCAUGAAUCUCUCUGUAUAAAUCCAGUGAGUCAAAAGCUUUGCUUUGUUAUCCCAUCUGUCUGUCUCUCAUUGUUGCCUUAGUGACUGAAUGUUGUUGAUUUAUAAGCACAGAAACAGAAACAGCCACUGACUGAGUAACUCUUGCCUACUGUAUAGUAACAUGCUGCUGUCAGGCAUAAGGAUUUUUGGUUUGGUCCAUAAUUCCAGCAGUUAUUUGUGCCUGUCCAGAGGUUUAUGAAGGAGACUGAUUCAAAUCACCAUAUGUCAUCAUUUUCAAAUUUUCUUACCAUCUGUUAUUUUCUCUCUGAUGGAAGACUUGAUGAUGGAUUACGCUGAUUAUUUUUGGACUAGUUAGAUUGAAGGAAUAGUUUGCCCAAAAAUUUACUUUCUAUUGACUCGCCUUCAUGUCGUUUCAAACUGGAUAUUUUUCUGAAUGUAGCCCACAUGUUUCUUCCAAAGAUUUGUGUGAGGUACAGACCAAAUUACAGUGAUUAUUUAUUCUAAACCCUCCCCUUCUUUAAAAUAUUAACAUGUCAUUGGUUAAUACUGCAUGUUCAGAUUGACACAUUGUGAUAGGUUUGAUGUCACCGAUGGACUUGUCGUAAACGAUCACGCAACUCUUGUUUGAAUAUCCGGGAUAAAAUUUCAGAGUUAAAAGUGUUUCUUUUAAAAUGUUCCUUUUGUGUUCCAUGGAAAAAGUUACAUCACUCUGAUUUGGAAGGACAUGAGGGAGAAUAAAUGAUGAUAGUAUUUUCAUUUUUGGGAGCAUAUAGUCCUCAAGGAGUAGAAGAGAUUGGAACAGAAAAUGCAAUAAAACCAAGCGAGAGAACAGGAUGCCUCUUAUUUUUGGAACAUAAAUAAAUGAACACGAGUAGGUGCCAUUUCACUCUUUCCAAGGUCACAAACCGGAAUAUCAAAGAAUUCCCACCAUGCAGCUAAGGAAUCCAGUUCAUGAAUAAACAAUAACCUCAGAAGUACUGUCCUUGUGCCACACUAAAUAUGGGAUUUUUUUCGGCCUAAAAAUAGAUGUGUGUGGGAAAUUUCUCCCUGUUUGGUUUUAACUCAAAUUUUCCGUAAUAAGAAAUUUCCUCGGCUGAACUUUAAGCAAAAAAGAUUCGGGAAGACCGACAUCCAAGCAGAUGGACACCUGCCUUCCACCCGUGCAUGAGGCAGAAGAACAUCAGGAAAAAAUGCCUUUACACUUUCCACCGUUAACAAGCUUCCUGCAUUUGAGCCUUGGGUACAUCGAGGGAUUUCCAGGCGGAGGUUGUACAACUUAGCAAAGGAUGAAGUUUAAGGCACUUUGGAUUGGUCUGUGAGGGUGUUUCCCACAAGGAAGCAUCUGUGGUGAACAAGCUUCACAGGUUUUCUGACCACCAUCUUGACCACCUACCUUGUUUCACUGUAGGUUGGGAAAACACUAAACUUGGCGUGGACACUUUGGAUCGACGCGUGAAAGCAUGGGCCGCGGCUCACCGCAGCUGAGUUGGUCACACAUCACAGCAGCAGUUUGGCAGAAAUGGUGAGAUUCGUUUCUGUGACUCUUCACCCUCGAAGCAUCCAGGAUACGUUCCCAUAUGUUGGCAACUCAAAGUGAUUCAAAGCCGGAUAAGGAAAAUGGUUGUUUAGUGUGUUUUUGUUGAGUUGUUAAACUACCGGAAGGUUGUGAAUAAAUCAUUACUGCACUGAAAACCUCAAACUUCAGAAGAAAAAUAUGUUAAGAUGAUGAAAAUCAGAUAUAUAUAAAACAUAGCAAAUUAUCAUAAAUCUUUCAUUUAGUGUUUUAUUGAUAUUCUAUUCAGGUUUGGGUUUGAUCUAAAUGCCUAACCCGUUAUAUUGAACACUUAACCAAACUACUUGAAAAAUUAACACCCAAAAAUCAAUUCACUCUAAUAAUCUGUCACCUUUAAAGGCGGGGUGCAUGAUCUCUGAAAGCCAAUGUUGACAUUUGAAAUCACCUAAACAAACACGCCCCUAAACCAAUAGAAUCUGGGCCUUCUUUUUAUAGACCCGUCCCACACAUACUUUUUGCUGUUCUUUGUCACACUGUAACAAAGUCUUUGUUGCCUUUAAUCUUUUGUUGAAUCAACUCAGAUUUAC